rnacentral:rRNA from 1 species
UACGGAGGGUGCGAGCGUUGUCCGGAAUCACUGGGCGUAAAGGGCGCGUAGGCGGCGCGGGGAGUCAACGGUGAAAGCUCGGCGCUCAACGCCGAGUCGGCCGUCGAUACUCCCGUGCUCGAGCACUGUAGAGGCUCAUGGAAUUCCGGGUGUAGCGGUGGAAUGCGUAGAGAUCCGGAAGAACACCGGUGGCGAAGGCGGCCAACUGGACCGACAUUGACGCUGAGGCGCGAAAGCGUGGGGAUCAAACAGG